CCUACGGGGGGCAGCAGUGAGGAAUAUUGGUCAAUGGCCGUAAGGCUGAACCAGCCAAGUAGCGUGAGGGAAGACGGCCCUAUGGGUUGUAAACCUCUUUUAUGCGGGGGUAAAGGUGUCCACGUGUGGAUGUUUGCAGGUACCGCAUGAAUAAAGACCGGCUAAUUCCGUGCCAGCAGACGCGGGAAUACGGAAGGUCCGGGCGUUAUCCGGAUUUAUUGGGUUUAAAGGGAGCGUAGGCCGGUCUUUAAGCGUGCCGUGAAAUUUUGUGGGCUAACCCUGAGAGUGCGGCGGGAACUGGCGACCUUGAGUGGGCGGAAGGCAGGCGGAAUUCGUGGUGUAGCGGUGAAAUGCUUAGAUAUCACGAAGAACCCCGAUUGCGAAGGCAGCCUGCCGCAGCGUUACUGACGCUGAAGCUCGAAAGCGCGGGUAUCGAACAGGAUUAGAUACCCCUGUAGUC
rnacentral:rRNA from 1 species